UAAGGAUAGAAUGGUUAAAAGGCUCAUUUUUAUCUAAAGGGAGCUCCCAGUUUGUGGAAGAAGGCUAUACAUGGGAAACUAUGAUUCAGUGCGAUGACAAUGAAUGCAGCCAGAACUGUGCGCUGUGGGAUGUGGGCGAGGGAGACUCCACCCUCGUGGUCUAGACUCAGGAGGAGGGGGAGGCUGCUGGGCAGAAGCACAGUUACUGGCACAGAGUGAGUUCUCAGUGAAUGUGGGUGGAUGGUGGAUGGAGAGAUGAACGAAUGAAUGGACGGAUGAAUGGAGGGAUGGACAAACAAAUAUGAAAAAUACCUUCUGGGUGCUUAUGUAUGGUGAAUAACAAAGUUUGAAAAUCAAGUUGGACUCAUGCUGGAGUCAUACGGCAGAAGACAAUUCCAACCACAAGGUCGUGUUGGACCUCAUUUGGCAGCUUCUUUACCCACUGAGCUAUCAGGAAGCCCCCAUGAAUGAGCUAAGCGCAUCUUCUGCCAAAAACCACACAAGUGGGGUUGGGGGUUGAUCCUCCCAGCCUUGAGGUGGCUGUCGCCGUGGCCAACAACCUGACUGGAGCCUCGUGAGACGUCCUGAGACGGAAACAUCCGGAAAUAGUGUAAGCAGCAGAUUCUUUUCCUAAGUGCAGAUUUCCCUGAAGUUUCACAGUCCUGCCACGUAUCCUAUCUUCUUAAGCCCAGGACAAGUCCCCGAGCAUCACCAGGUGUUGCUAAGUGUGACACCAUAUGCGUAUGCUGCCCCUGGAGUCUCCAGGCUCUACUGGCUUCCUCCCCCUGGAAACACCACCUACCUUCAAA